rnacentral:rRNA from 1 species
CCUACGGGGGGCAGCAGUGGGGGAUAUUGCACAAUGGGCGAAACCCUGAUGCAGCGACGCCGCGUGUGGGAAGACGGUCCUCUGGAUUGUAAACCACUGUCCCCAGGGACGAAGAUGACGGUACCUGGGGAGGCAGCUCCGGCUAACAACGUGCCAGCAGCCGCGGUAAUACGUAGGGAGCGAGCGUUGUCCGGAAUUACUGGGUGUAAAGGGAUCGUAGGCGGGGAUGCAAGUUGGGGGUCAAAACUUCCGGCUCAAAUGGUAGUCGCACGCAAGACUGCAGCUCUUGAGUGAAGUAGAGGCAGGCGGAAUUCCUAGUGUAGCGGUGAAAUGCGUAGAUAUUAGGAGGAACACCAGUGGCGAAGGCGGCCUGCUGGGCUUUUACUGACGCUGAGGCUCGAAAGUGUGGGGAGCAAACAGGAUUAGAUACCCUUGUAGUC